rnacentral:rRNA from 1 species
UACAGAGGUCUCGAGCGUUGUUCGGAUUCAUUGGGCGUAAAGGGCGCGUAGGCGGCGGGGUAAGUCUGGUGUGAAAUCUAGGAGCUCAACUCCUAAACUGCACUGGAUACUGCUCUGCUGGAGGACUGGAGAGGAGACUGGAAUUCACGGUGUAGCAGUGAAAUGCGUAGAUAUUCGGAAGAACACCAGUGGCGAAGGCGACUCUUUGGCCUGUAACUGACGCUGAGGCGCGAAAGCGUGGGGAGCAAACAGG